ACUGCAAGAACCAUCAAAGCUGUCCUCCCCUCCCUCCCCUGCCUUGGAUGACACAUGAAAGGGACUCUGAUGCCCUAUGCUGGUGGCUUUGAUGUCCAGCCUUGCCCAUUGAAAAGCCCUCUCCCUGGCAAUAUUCUCUGUCUCUCCUCUGUGACUUUCCCUGUGUCCUCCUUGUCAUUCUCUCUCUCCCUCCCCCUCCUUUUUUGCCCCUGUCUCCCUCUGACCAUCCCCAUCUCCAUCCACCUUUCUCUGCUCCUCAAGCUCUGUGUAGCUAAGUCAUUUUUCCUGAAGUAAAAUCUGAGUCAUCCUGUGUAAGACAGUUGGGUUCAAUGAAGAAUGAACCCAAAGGCCACGGGGCUUUGCUAGACCAAGCCUGAAGCUACUCACCCUACUCUCUUUUCUUAGAAAAGACAUGAGUCCCCUGGUAGCUGGACGCUUGCAGCUGGUCCUGCCUCCAGAAAAAACAGAAGCCUCUCUGUGAUCUGGCAGGGCUCCCCUAGACCCCAGAAUAUCCCCCAACCCAUCUGCCUGGAGCCCAAAAUUCUACUAUUAUUAGUUAUCCCAUCGGGACCCCCUGACAUUGUGCACCAGCGAUUUCAUAUGUGAGUCUCACAGUUUUUCUCUGAAGGGUCCCAAUGAUCAGAGGUAUCAGAGAGUGUUGGAGUGUGGUCUGCCAUAUUACAAGAUUAUUUUUAAGAUUCAGGUUUUGUCUUAAAAGUUCACAUGCGUCUGUUCUCACUCAUAAGUGGGAGUUGAACAAUGAGAACACAUGGACACAGAGAGGGGAACAAUACACACUAAGGCCUGUUGGGGGUUGGGGGUUAAGGGGAGGGAAAUUAGCGGA
rnacentral:lncRNA from 1 species